AUUAUACCGUGAAACUGCGAAUGGCUCAUUAAAUCAGUUAUCGUUUAUUUGAUAGUACCUCAUUACUUGGAUAACCGUGGUAAUUCUAGAGCUAAUACAUGCUGAAAACCCCAACUUCGGAAGGGGUGUAUUUAUUAGAUAAAAAACCAAUGCCCUUCGGGGCUUCUUGGUGAUUCAUGAUAACUAAACGGAUCGCAUGGCCUUGCGCCGGCGACGGUUCAUUCAAAUUUCUGCCCUAUCAACUUUCGAUGGUAAGGUAUUGGCUUACCAUGGUUUCAACGGGUAACGGGGAAUUAGGGUUCGAUUCCGGAGAGGGAGCCUGAGAAACGGCUACCACAUCCAAGGAAGGCAGCAGGCGCGCAAAUUACCCAAUCCCGACACGGGGAGGUAGUGACAAUAAAUACUGAUACAGGGCUCUUUUGGGUCUUGUAAUUGGAAUGAGUACAAUUUAAACCUCUUAACGAGGAACAAUUGGAGGGCAAGUCUGGUGCCAGCAGCCGCGGUAAUUCCAGCUCCAAUAGCGUAUAUUAAAGUUGUUGCAGUUAAAAAGCUCGUAGUUGAACCUUGGGCCUGGCUGGCAGGUCCGCCUCACCGCGUGUACUUGACCGGCCGGGCCUUUCCUUCUGGAGAACCUCAUGCCCUUCACUGGGUGUGCUGGGGAACCAGGACUUUUACUUUGAAAAAAUUAGAGUGUUCAAAGCAGGCCUUUGCUCGAAUACGUUAGCAUGGAAUAAUAGAAUAGGACGUGCGGUCCUAUUUUGUUGGUUUCUAGGACCGCCGUAAUGAUUAAUAGGGACAGUCGGGGGCAUCAGUAUUCAAUUGUCAGAGGUGAAAUUCUUGGAUUUAUUGAAGACUAACUACUGCGAAAGCAUUUGCCAAGGAUGUUUUCAUUAAUCAGUGAACGAAAGUUAGGGGAUCGAAGACGAUCAGAUACCGUCGUAGUCUUAACCGUAAACUAUGCCGACUAGGGAUCGGGCGAUGUUCUCAUUUUGACUCGCUCGGCACCUUACGAGAAAUCAAAGUUUUUGGGUUCUGGGGGGAGUAUGGUCGCAAGGCUGAAACU
rnacentral:rRNA from 1 species